rnacentral:rRNA from 1 species
UCAAGCUAUAAAGAGCGUAGGGAGAAUGACUUGGCAUCAGGAGCCGAAGAAGGACGUGACAAGCUGCGAAAAGCUGCGGUUAGGAGCAAAUAUCCAUAGACCCGCAGAUAUCCGAAUGGGGAAACCCGGUACGGCAAUACCGUAUCACUGCAUGGUAAAUACAUAGCCAUGUGGAGGAAACCCUCUGAACUGAAACAUCUAAGUAGGAGGAGGAAGAGAAAGAAACAUCGAUUUCCUAAGUAGCGGCGAGCGAAAGGGAAAGAGGCCAAACCAGAGAUAGCAAUAUCUUUGGGGUUGCGGACUGCGUAAUUGAUUCAAUAUUUUUAGCAGAAGUGUAUGGGAAGACACACCAUAGUAGGUAAUAGUCCUGUAAGCGAAAAGGAUAUUGACAAGGCAGGAUCCAGAGUACCACCGGACACGAGGAACCCGGUGGGAAGCCGGGGGGACCACCCCCCAAGCCUAAAUACUACCUGAUGACCGAUAGUGAAAAGUACAGUGAUGGAAAGUUGAAAAGAACCCCGGAAGGGGAGUGAAAAAGAAUCUGAAACCCUAUGUUUACAAGCUGCUAAAGCACCAUAUGAGUGCGAUAGCGUACUUUUUGUAGAACGGUCCGGCGAGUGUAUGUUGCAAGCGAGGUUAAGGUGUUAAGCACUGAAGCCGAAGGGAGACCGAGUGUGAAUAGCGCGUACAGUUUGCAGUAUACGACCCGAAACCGGGUGACCUAACCAUGGACAGGUUGAAGUGGAAGUAAAAUUCCAUGGAGGACCGAACCCACGUCUGUUGAAAAAGGCGGGGAUGAGCUGUGGUUAGCGGUGAAAUUCCAAUCGAACUCGGAUAUAGCUGGUUCUCAUCGAAAUAGCUUUAGGGCUAGCCUCAGGAUAGUUUAGCGGAGGUAAAGCACUGAAUGGGCUAGGGGGCUUCACGGCUUACCGAACCCUAUCAAACUCUGAAUGCCGCAUAAAUGUUUCCUGGGAGUCAGACUGCGUGAGAUAAGUUUCGUAGUCAAAAGGGAAAGAGCCCAGACCUACAGCUAAGGUCCCUAAAUGAAUUUAAGUGGAAAAGGAUGUGCAGUUGCGUAGACAACUAGGACGUUGGCUUAGAAGCAGCCACUCAUUUAAAGAGUGCGUAAUAGCUCACUAGUCGAGAGAUCCUGCGCCGAAAAUGUCCGGGGCUAAAACUUACCACCGAAGCUACGGGCUUGCGUAAGCAAGCGGUAGGGGAGCGUCGUAAUCGGGCUGAAGUCGUACCGUAAGGAGCGGUGGACUGAUUACGAGUGAGAAUGUUGGCAUUAGUAGCGAGAUGUAGGUGAGAAUCCUACAGGCCGAAUAUCUAAGGUUUCCUCAGGAAGGCUCGUCCGCUGAGGGUUAGUCGGGACCUAAGCCGAGGCCGAAAGGCGUAGGCGAUGGACAACAGGUUGAUAUUCCUGUACCACUACCAUCGUUAUUAUCGAGGGUGUGACGGAGAAGGAUAGUGUGUGCUAGCGAUUGGAAAUGCUAGUCUAAGCGUUUAGGCAGUUACGGUAGGCAAAUCCGCUGUAAUGUUAAUGCUGAGGCGUGAUGGGGAAGGCCCUUGAGGCUGAAGUACAUGAUUCCAUGCUUCCAAGAAAAGCAUCUAGAGAGAGAAGUAGUGCCCGUACCGCAAACCGACACAGGUAGAUGAGGAGAGAAUCCUAAGGCCGGCGGAAGAAUUGCAGUUAAGGAACUAGGCAAAUUGACCCCGUAAGUUAGCGAGAAGGGGUGCCUACGAGAGUAGGCCGCAGAGAAUAGGCCCAAGCAACUGUUUAGCAAAAACACAGGUCUCUGCUAAAGCGCAAGCUGAUGUAUAGGGGCUGACGCCUGCCCGGUGCUGGAAGGUUAAGGGGAACACUUAGCGCAAGCGAAGGUGUGAACUUAAGCCCCAGUAAACGGCGGCCGUAACUAUAACGGUCCUAAGGUAGCGAAAUUCCUUGUCAGGUAAGUUCUGACCCGCACGAAUGGCGUAAUGACUUGGGCACUGUCUCAACUGCAAAUCCGGCGAAGUUGUAGUGCGAGUGAAGAUGCUCGCUACCCGCGAUUGGACGGAAAGACCCCGUAGAGCUUUACUGUAGCUUAGCAUUGAAUUCCGGUAUUGUCUGUACAGGAUAGGUGGGAGACUGGGAAACUAGGGCGUCAGCCUUAGUGGAGUCAUCCUUGGGAUACCACCCUGACAGUACUGGGGUUCUAACAGGAUGCCAUGAAUCUGGUGACUGGACAUUGUUAGGUGGGCAGUUUGACUGGGGCGGUCGCCUCCUAAAAAGUAACGGAGGCGCCCAAAGGUUCCCUCAGAACGGUCGGAAAUCGUUCGUAGAGUGCAAAGGCAGAAGGGAGCCUGACUGCGAGACCUACAAGUCGAGCAGGGACGAAAGUCGGGCUUAGUGAUCCGGUGGUACCUCGUGGGAGGGCCAUCGCUCAACGGAUAAAAGCUACCUCGGGGAUAACAGGCUGAUCUCCCCCAAGAGUCCACAUCGACGGGGAGGUUUGGCACCUCGAUGUCGGCUCAUCGCAUCCUGGGGCUGAAUUCGGUCCCAAGGGUUUGGCUGUUCGCCAAUUAAAGCGGCACGCGAGCUGGGUUCAGAACGUCGUGAGACAGUUCGGUCCCUAUCCGUCGCGGGCGUAGGAAAUUUGAGAGGAUCUGCUCCUAGUACGAGAGGACCAGAGUGGACUUACCGCUGGUGUACCAGUUGUUCUGCCAAGAGCAUCGCUGGGUAGCUAUGUAGGGAAGGGAUAAACGCUGAAAGCAUCUAAGUGUGAAGCCCACCUCAAGAUGAGAUUUCCCAUGAUUUUAUAUCAGUAAGAGCCCUGAGAGAUGAUCAGGUUGAUAGGUUAGAAGUGGAAGUGUGGUGACACAUGUAGCGGACUAAUACUAAUAGCUCGAGGACUUAUCCAA